rnacentral:rRNA from 1 species
UACGGGGGAGCAAGCGUUGUUCGGAUUUACUGGGCGUAAAGGGCGGGUAGGCGGCCACCGCAAGUCGACUGUGAAAUCUCCGGGCUUAACCCGGAAAGGUCAGCCGAUACUGCGGGGCUAGAGUGCAGAAGGGGCAACUGGAAUUCUCGGUGUAGCGGUGAAAUGCGUAGAUAUCGAGAGGAACACCUGCGGCGAAGGCGGGUUGCUGGGCUGACACUGACGCUGAACUGCGAAAGCUAGGGGAGCGAACGGG